GGGCCCGCACAAGCAGUGGAGCAUGUGGUUUAAUUCGAUGCAACGCGAAGAACCUUACCAGGGUUUGACAUAUCACUUAUUUUAUAAUAAGGUUUUAAUGAAAGUUAAUUUUAGAUUACAGGUGGUGCAUGGCUGUCGUCAGCUCGUGUCGCGAGAUGUUGGGUUAAGUCCCGCAACGAGCGUAACCUUUGUUUCUUGUUGUGAUUUCAGAUCAAGAAAAACUGCCAGUGAUGAGCUGGAGGACGGUAAAGAUGACGUCAAGUCAGCAUGCCCCUUAUACUCUGGGCCACACACGUGCUACAAUAGUUAGGAUAAAACGUAACUACUUUGUGAAAAGAUGUUAACCGUUAAACCUAAUUUUAGUUCGGAUCCAUCUCUGCAACUCGAGAUGGUU
rnacentral:rRNA from 1 species